UCAGUACCCCGAGGAAAAGAAAUCAACCGAGAUUCCCCUAGUAGCGGCGAGCGAACGGGGAGCAGCCCAGAGUCUUAAUCAGCAUUAGCAUCAGGAGAACGGUCUGGAAAGUCCGGCAGUAAAGGGUGAUAGCCCCGUAUCCGAAGGUGUUAGUGUUGUGAACUCGACGAGUAGGGCGGGACACGUGUUAUCCUGUCUGAAUAUGGGGGGACCAUCCUCCAAGGCUAAAUACUCCUGAUUGACCGAUAGUGAACCAGUACCGUGAGGGAAAGGCGAAAAGAACCCCGGCGAGGGGAGUGAAAUAGAACCUGAAACCGUGUACGUACAAGCAGUGGGAGCCCCACCACCAAAGCAUUUUCUGGUGUUGAGGACAACUUUGAAGUGACAUUCAACACGCGUUGGCGGAGCGUUUUUUGCGACGCCCAACACACAAAACAAGCAGUGAAUGUGCUUUGGGGUGGGGUGACUGCGUACCUUUUGUAUAAUGGGUCAGCGACUUAUAUUCUGUAGCAAGGUUAACCGUAUAGGGGAGCCGUAGGGAAACCGAGUCUUAACUGGGCGAAUGAGUUGCAGGGUAUAGACCCGAAACCCGGUGAUCUAGCCAUGGGCAGGUUGAAGGUUGGGUAACACUAACUGGAGGACCGAACCGACUAAUGUUGAAAAAUUAGCGGAUGACUUGUGGCUGGGGGUGAAAGGCCAAUCAAACCGGGAGAUAGCUGGUUCUCCCCGAAAGCUAUUUAGGUAGCGCCUCGUGAACUCAUCUUCGGGGGUAGAGCACUGUUUCGACUAGGGGGUCAUCCCGACUUACCAACUCGAUGCAAACUACGAAUACCGAAGAAUGUUAUCACGGGAGACACACGGCGGGUGCUAACGUUCGUCGUGAAGAGGGAAACAACCCAGACCGCCAGCUAAGGUCCCAAAGUCAUAGUUAAGUGGGAAACGAAGUGGGAAGGCUCAGACAGCCAGGAUGUUGGCUUAGAAGCAGCCAUCAUUUAAAGAAAGCGUAAUAGCUCACUGGUCGAGUCGGCCUGCGCGGAAGAUGUAACGGGGCUAAACUAUGCACCGAAGCUGCGGCA
rnacentral:rRNA from 1 species